rnacentral:rRNA from 1 species
CCUACGGGAGGCAGCAGUGAGGAAUAUUGGUCAAUGGCCGCGAGCCUGAACCAGCCAAGCCGCGUGAGGGACGACGGUCCUAAGGAUUGUAAACUUCUUUUGUCAGGGAGCAAAAGCCGCCUCGCGUGCCGUACCGAGCGUACCUGAAGAAAAAGCAUCGGCUAACUCCGUGCCAGCAGCCGCGGUAAUACGGAGGAUGCGAGCGUUAUCCGGUUUUGUUGGGUUUAAAGGGUGCGUAGGCGGACGGUUAAGUCAGCGGUAAAAUCGCGGGGCUAAACCCCGGCGAGCCGUUGAAACUGGUUGUCUUGAGGGGGUGAGAGGUAUGCGGAAUGCGAGGUGUAGCGGUGAAAUGCGUAGAUA